rnacentral:rRNA from 1 species
UACGUAGGGUGCGAGCGUUGUCCGGAAUUAUUGGGCGUAAAGAGCUUGUAGGCGGUUUGUCGCGUCUGCUGUGAAAAUCCGGGGCUCAACCCCGGACUUGCAGUGGGUACGGGCAGACUAGAGUGUGGUAGGGGAGACUGGAAUUCCUGGUGUAGCGGUGAAAUGCGCAGAUAUCAGGAGGAACACCGGUGGCGAAGGCGGGUCUCUGGGCCGAUACUGACGCUGAGGAGCGAAAGCGUGGUGAGCGAACAGG